rnacentral:rRNA from 1 species
AUUGAACGCUGGCGGCAUGCUUUACACAUGCAAGUCGAACGGCAGCGCGGGCUUCGGCCUGGCGGCGAGUGGCGAACGGGUGAGUAAUGCAUCUGAACGUGCCCAGUAGUGGGGGAUAGCCCGGCGAAAGCCGGAUUAAUACCGCAUACGACCUGAGGGUGAAAGCGGGGGACCGAAAGGCCUCGCGCUAUUGGAGCGGCCGAUGUCGGAUUAGCUAGUUGGUGGGGUAAAGGCUUAGCAAGGCGACGAUCCGUAGCUGGUCUGAGAGGACGACCAGCCACACUGGGACUGAGACACGGCCCAGACUCCUACGGGAGGCAGCAGUGGGGAAUUUUGGACAAUGGGGGCAACCCUGAUCCAGCCAUGCCGCGUGCGGGAAGAAGGCCUUCGGGUUGUAAACCGCUUUUGUUCGGGAAGAAAUCCUCUGGGCUAAUACCCCGGGGGGAUGACGGUACCGGAAGAAUAAGCACCGGCUAACUACGUG